rnacentral:rRNA from 1 species
CGAACGGGUGAGUAAUAUAUCGGAACGUACCCAAGAGUGGGGGAUAACGUAGCGAAAGUUACGCUAAUACCGCAUACGAUCUAUGGAUGAAAGCAGGGGACCGCAAGGCCUUGUGCUCCUGGAGCGGCCGAUAUCUGAUUAGCUAGUUGGUAGGGUAAAGGCCUACCAAGGCGACGAUCAGUAGCUGGUCUGAGAGGACGACCAGCCACACUGGAACUGAGACACGGUCCAGACUCCUACGGGAGGCAGCAGUGGGGAAUUUUGGACAAUGGGCGCAAGCCUGAUCCAGCAAUGCCGCGUGAGUGAAGAAGGCCUUCGGGUUGUAAAGCUCUUUUGUCAGGGAAGAAACGGUGGAGGUUAAUACCUUCCGCUAAUGACGGUACCUGAAGAAUAAGCACCGGCUAACUACGUGCCAGCAGCCGCGGUAAUACGUAGGGUGCAAGCGUUAAUCGGAAUUACUGGGCGUAAAGCGUGCGCAGGCGGUUUUGUAAGUCUGUCGUGAAAGCCCCGGGCUCAACCUGGGAAUUGCGAUGGAGACUGCAAGGC